GACGAACCGUGCGAACGUUGUUCGGAAUCACUGGGCUUAAAGGGCGCGUAGGCGGACUGACAAGUCUGGGGUGAAAUGCCGCGGCUCAACCGUGGAACUGCCUUAGAUACUGUCGGCCUCGAGGAAGGUAGGGGCAUGCGGAACUGUAGGUGGAGCGGUGAAAUGCGUUGAUAUCUACAGGAACUCCGGUGGCGAAAGCGGCGUGCUGGACCUUUUCUGACGCUGAGGCGCGAAAGCUAGGGGAGCAAACGGG
rnacentral:rRNA from 1 species